AUGAACGCUGGCGGCGUGCCUCAUACAUGCAAGUCGAGCGAACAGACGAGGAGCUUGCUCCUCUGACGUUAGCGGCGGACGGGUGAGUAACACGUGGAUAACCUACCUAUAAGACUGGGAUAACUUCGGGAAACCGGAGCUAAUACCGGAUAACAUGUUGAACCGCAUGGUUCAACAGUGAAAGACGGUUUUGCUGUCACUUAUAGAUGGAUCCGCGUCGCAUUAGCUAGUUGGUAAGGUAACGGCUUACCAAGGCAACGAUGCGUAGCCGACCUGAGAGGGUGAUCGGCCACACUGGAACUGAGACACGGUCCAGACUCCUACGGGAGGCAGCAGUAGGGAAUCUUCCGCAAUGGGCGAAAGCCUGACGGAGCAACGCCGCGUGAGUGAAGAAGGUCUUCGGAUCGUAAAACUCUGUUAUUAGGGAAGAACAAAUGUGUAAGUAACUAUGCACGUCUUGACGGUACCUAAUCAGAAGGCCACGGCUAACUACGUG
rnacentral:rRNA from 1 species